UACGUAGGGUCCGAGCGUUGUCCGGAAUUACUGGGCGUAAAGAGCUCGUAGGCGGCCUGUCGCGUCGGUUGUGAAAGCCCGGGGCUCAACCCCGGGUCUGCAGUCGAUACGGGCAGGCUAGAGUUCGGUAGGGGAGAUCGGAAUUCCACGUGUAGCGGUGAAAUGCGUAGAGAUGUGGAGGAACACCAGUGGCGAAGGCGGCUUUCUAGGUCUGUAACUGACGCUGAGGCGCGAAAGCGUGGGGAGCAAACAGG
rnacentral:rRNA from 1 species